UGUCUUUGUUGUCCUCUCUUGCUUCCAGUGGCCUUGCCUUUUUUCUGGGCUUGUGUCCUUCUUGGUCUGAACAGUUUUCCUUCUGCCGCUUGCUUUGGGUGGAGCUUKGGGUGUUGUUUCCUGCUUGAGUUAAGUUUCCUUCCUGCAACUGCUCUCCCGCGUGCCUUUGGCAGCUUGGCCUUGCCUUGUCCUUUCUCCGUGGGUUCUCAGUAGGGCUGGUCCUUUUCUUGAGUUGUGUUUCAACGUCUCUUGUUCU
rnacentral:lncRNA from 1 species